UUUAAUUGUUCGAUUUUGUACGUAAUUUGUAUUCGGUAAGUACUCCAUGAUAAAAUUGAUAGAUUUUAACAGAAAUGCUUGAAAAUUUAACAGAAGGUUCCUUUCCCUCUUUUACCUAAACAAGGAAAAACAAAUAUAUUUUUGAUGUACCUAGGGACUUAAGCUAUCACUCCCUUAAACUAUUUUAAUCGAAAAAUACCCCUCGAUUUGUUGUGCAAACUUUUCUACAAGAAAUCUUGCUCUGAUGUAUCAAAUGUAGCUUAUUUUCUAAAAGAAAAAUUUAUCUCCAUGUUAAUUUAGGAAGGUAAUUUUUUAAAUUUUUUAUGCGGUUUUCAUAAUACCUGGGAAAAAACCAGAAUAAAAUGUCGGAAAAUGUACGGUAGUACCUAUAAUAUUAGUAAAAACAUUUUAGCCUUUUUUUUUCUUUGUACAACUUUUCUAUCAGCAAUUUUGCUCCGAUUUAAAAUAAUAGCACUUUUUCUGAAAGUAAACCUGACUGGGAAGUUACUUUAGGAAAGUCAUUUGUCCAUUUUCUCAAGAGUUUUCCCAGCAAAUAUGAAAAAACAUAGGAAAAACGGGUAAAUCUGUACAAUAUUAAAGAAAUAUUAUUAUAGAAAACAUAUAAUGCUUAUUUAAUUAUUUUACAUAUAUAUUGUUGAAAAAGCAUCGCUAUCAACUGAACUGCGCUCAGAAUCGGUUUUUCGUUAGCAAUGGUUUAUCGUUGCUUACAGAUAUACAUUGAAUUAUCUAUAACAGUGGCUGCACCCGUUUUCAUUAUCCUCCAUUAUCUAUUUUUUCUUAUUUAUAUUCAUAGAAAAAAAAAAGUCGAAUUAAAUAAAUUGAUUAUCUC